AACCCUGUGAGGACACAAACCCACUGAUAGGAAGUGCCGUAUGACGGAAAAAAACACUUGUUCUUUGUCUCAGAACAUUUGAAUCCCUGGUUUGUUUCAUUGAAACACCACGGCCUCUUGUUUUUGGUGGCUUUUUACAAGUGUUGGGUGAUUUUAUACGGGUCUCUGAGGGUU